AGUGAACGCUGGCGGUAGGCCUAACACAUGCAAGUCGAACGGAAGCACAGUAAGAGCUUGCUCUUACGGGUGGCGAGUGGCGGACGGGUGAGGAAUACAUCGGAAUCUACUUUUUCGUGGGGGAUAACGUAGGGAAACUUACGCUAAUACCGCAUACGACCUACGGGUGAAUGCAGGGGAUCUUCGGACCUUGCGCGAUUGAAUGAGCCGAUGUCGGAUUAGCUAGUUGGCGGGGUAAAGGCCCACCAAGGCGACGAUCCGUAGCUGGUCUGAGAGGAUGAUCAGCCACACUGGAACUGAGACACGGUCCAGACUCCUACGGGAGGCAGCAGUGGGGAAUAUUGGACAAAGGGCGCAAGCCUGAUCCAGCCAUACCGCGUGGGUGAAGAAGGCCUUCGGGUUUUAAAGCCCUUUUGUUGGGAAAGAAAAGCAUCAGGUUAAUACCCCGCUGUUCUGACGGUACCCAAAGAAUAAGCACCGGCUAACUUCGUG
rnacentral:rRNA from 1 species